AGAGUUUGAUCAUGGCUCAGAACGAACACUGGCGGCGUGGUUUAGGCAUGCAAGUCGAACGUGAAAGUUCCUUCGGGAAUGAGUAAAGUGGCGAACGGGUGAGUAACGCGUGGGAAACCUUCCCUUCGUUGGGGGAUAACAGUUCUAACGAGCUGCUAAUACCGCAUACGACCUUUGGAUCGCAUGGUCUGAAGGUGAAAGGGGGCGAUCUCUUCGGAGAGCUCCCGACGAUGGAUGGUCCCGCGUCCCAUUAGCUAGUUGGCGGGGUAAUGGCCCACCAAGGCGACGAUGGGUAGCCGGCCUGAGAGGGUGUCCGGCCACACUGGGACUGAGAUACGGCCCAGACUCCUACGGGAGGCAGCAGUCGAGAAGCUUCGGCAAUGGGCGAAAGCCUGACCGAGCGACGCCGCGUGAGCGAAGAAGGCCCUAUGGGUUGUAAAGCUCUGUCAGAUUGGGAAGAAAACCUCGCGGUUAAUACCCGCGAGGCCUGACGGUACCAUCAGAGGAAGC
rnacentral:rRNA from 1 species